CCUUCGCUGGUGGAUCCUGAGCAAUAUUUGGCUGUUUUCCCAUACCACUUAAAGUGUUUAACAGGUUGUUCUGACAUUGCCAUUUACAGCACCUUACGGUGCACAAAUUAAUUGCUGCACUGUUUUGCUGUGCCGCAACAGUGACUGAAGUUCAAAAGUGCUCGACUGGCUGCGACAGUUAAGGCCUAUUGAGGCUGUGGAAUCGGAUUCCCUGCCCAAAAUCCUGUGGCCUGGUUUUCUCCUGAGAGGCCCAGCAUAUCCCCAGGACCCAGCUGAGGACAGAAUGAUAUUCAGCCAGAAGUCCAGUGCUGAAGUUGGAAGGUACCAGUGUCACAUAUACAGUCUCCGCCCUGAAGAAGUCAAGACAUCUCCUCCUCCACCUCAGAAUAAGGAAGUACAGUCCCCUCAGAGGAAGCACCAGCGAGGCUGCUCCUGCACCCUCCCUCAGCUCAGAUUGUGGUAUCUUGCUCUUGUACAAGGAGGGACUCAGCUUCUUAGCUCUGGACUGCAGGUUAAAGCAACACAGCUCUUUCAAAUCGACCUCCUGCCAAGUUGUAGACAAGUAAAAAAAUCUCGGUAAAUUACCCAGAAUAAAUGUGGACAUCUACAUUAACAGCCAAUCUGUAAAGAAUUUCCCUUCCAGAAGAACACACAAAGGUUAGGAGGACAGUAACUGCAGCAGCAAAUUUAAUAUUGAUUUUGCACUGGAGCCCAAGCUCUAAAAUUAAAUAUUUUGUGAUGAACUUGAUGAUUCAGUUUGCUGGUCAUGAAAUAAAGUAUUUUCAAAGAGGAA